UACGUAGGGUGCGAGCGUUAAUCGGAAUUACUGGGCGUAAAGGGCGCGCAGGCGGCUCAUUUUGUCAGGCGUGAAAGCCCCGGGCUUAACCUGGGAACUGCGUUUGAUACGGAUGGGCUAGAGUUCGGGAGAGGAGAGUGGAAUUCCCAGUGUAGAGGUGAAAUUCGUAGAUAUUCGGAAGAACACCAGUGGCGAAGGCGACUCACUGGACACAUAUUGACGCUGAGGUGCGAAAGCGUGGGGAGCAAACAGG
rnacentral:rRNA from 1 species